CGAUACGUCUCCUCCUCUCAGAGGCUCCGAGGAAGGGCGUGGGCGCUGGAGGGAGCAGGGCUCAGCCGGGUGCCCCUCCCGCCAGGCCCCACCGGGGCUGAGCCUCUUCUGUCGCCCGCUUCAGGUUCUGCAGCUGGAUCUCCGUGUAGGGCCCCGGAGCCGGGGACGAGGUCAGGUUCCCUUGUUACCGCUGGGUGGAGGUCGACGGCGUCCUGAGCCUGCCUGAAGGCACCAGUAAGCGCGGGGCUGGGGGUGUCAGGAGGCCUCUGGGGUGCGAGAGAAGCUGGGGGGAUGCGCGUGUGGAGAAGAGGGCGCAGGAUGGGGGUGCUGGAACCUGGAGCGCAGGGCUCUUUGGGAGUGUCGAAGGGGCUGUGGCUGCAGCUGGCACAAAGUGGCUGGAGCCUGGGGGAGGGGCGUGAUGCUGAAGAGGCAGGGGUCACACAGAAGGACGGA
rnacentral:lncRNA from 1 species